rnacentral:rRNA from 1 species
UACGGAGGGCGCAAGCGUUGUUCGGAAUUACUGGGCGUAAAGCGCGGGCAGGUGGUCUGUUAAGUCGUUUGUGAAAAUCCGGGGCUCAACCCCGUGAAAUGCGUACGAUACUGGCAGGCUGGAGAUCGGUAGAGGCUAGCGGAAUUCCUGGUGUAGCGGUGGAAUGCGUAGAGAUCAGGAAGAACACCCGUGGCGAAGGCGGCUAGCUGGGCCGAGUCUGACACUCAUCCGAGAAAGCGUGGGGAGCAAACAGG